CUCUCCUCCUUCCAGCCACAACAACUUGGGCUUCAGGUUACCGCCUCAAGGUUGGUCUAUCUCCACUGUCCAGGUUCCUGAAAAGGCUGCGCUAAGAGCAGCCACUGAGCCUCAGACAGGUGCAGUAACCUACCCUCGCACGGUCAGGCGAAGAGCUCGUCUGGAAUUAAAGAUUCACGGCUCUUCCACCCCCAUGUAAUACUCAGCUCUUCAAGAGUAAGGAUAAACAUCUGUGGAAAUAGGGGAGGCUGCCUCCCCCACCCCCUGGAUUCCUUGAAAACAAAAGCUCUUGGUGCAGUCUCGGGUAGAGGGGCCCAGGCCCUUGAAACUUGAAGGCUGGCUGGACUCAGAAUGUUAGCUCUGGAAGGGACCUUAGAGGACAUCUGCAUCCCCUGCACACCCCCUCAGCAGAGUCUGCAAGCUCUACCCUAGAGUAAAUCAUGGAUGACUACGUUCUGGAACACCCACUCCACCCUCAGCCUCAUCUGGGAAAGGAUUUCCCUUAUUCCUGAGGUCCAGUCCUUUAUUCAGUCCUUUAUUGUCUCUUGGCCUAAUGACUUGGGGAUGGAUGUUAAUUUAACUAAAUGUGGUGAUCAUCUUGCAGUGCAUACACUUGUC